AGAGUUUGAUCCUGGCUCAGGACGAACGCUGGCGGUGUGCUUAACACAUGCAAGUCGAACGGUAAGGCCCUUUCGGGGGUACACGAGUGGCGAACGGGUGAGUAACACGUGAGUAACCUGCCCUCAUCUCUGGGAUAACAGUCGGAAACGGUUGCUAAUACUGGAUAUGAGCUUGCAAGGCAUCUUGUGGGUUGGAAAGAUAUUUUUUGGUUGGGGAUGGACUCGCGGCCUAUCAGCUUGUUGGUGAGGUAGUGGCUCACCAAGGCUUCGACGGGUAGCCGGCCUGAGAGGGCGACCGGCCACAUUGGGACUGAGAUACGGCCCAAACUCCUACGGGAGGCAGCAGUGGGGAAUAUUGCACAAUGGACGGAAGUCUGAUGCAGCAACGCCGCGUGCGGGAUGACGGCCUUCGGGUUGUAAACCGCUUUCAAUUGUGACGAAGCUUUUUUGUGACGGUAGCAGUAGAAGAAGCACCGGCUAACUACGUGCCAGCAGCCGCGGUGAUACGUAGGGUGCGAGCGUUGUCCGGAUUUAUUGGGCGUAAAGAGCUUGUAGGCGGUUUGUCGCGUCGGGAGUGAAAACUUGGGGCUUAACCCUGAGCUUGCUUUCGAUACGGGCUGACUUGAGGGAGGUAGGGGAGAAUGGAAUUCCUGGUGGAGCGGUGGAAUGCGCAGAUAUCAGGAGGAACACCGGUGGCGAAGGCGGGUCUCUGGGCCGUUACUGACGCUGAGGAGCGAAAGCGUGGGGAGCGAACAGGAUUAGAUACCCUGGUAGUCCACGCUGUAAACGUUGGGCACUAGGUGUGGGGGGCCUUUUCCGGGUUUUCCGCGCCGUAGCUAACGCAUUAAGUGCCCCGCCUGGGGAGUACGGCCGCAAGGCUAAAACUCAAAGGAAUUGACGGGGGCCCGCACAAGCGGCGGAGCAUGCGGAUUAAUUCGAUGCAACGCGAAGAACCUUACCUGGGUUUGACAUAUGCCGGAAGCGUUCAGAGAUGGGCGUGCCUUUUUGGUCGGUUUACAGGUGGUGCAUGGCUGUCGUCAGCUCGUGUCGUGAGAUGUUGGGUUAAGUCCCGCAACGAGCGCAACCCU
rnacentral:rRNA from 1 species